UGUGUCUCUAUGAAUAAAUAAAUAAAUCUUAAAAAAAAAAAUCAAAGAUAUAGCCUAGCUUAGCCAGUAAAGGAUGAAUGCUGUGAGAUUGGGGCCAGUGGUGGUGGGGCUGUAUAUAUUGGUUGGGAAAGCAGGGCAUUUUUCUCUGAGGCAGGCUUUCCGCAGAGGAAAAUCUGGAUUCAAGAGAGAUUAAAAGUCUCAAAGGUAAAGGAGAGAUGUAAGGAAAUGGCCUGCAUUGAAUCACUGCAAAGGACAGUAUUCAUCAGAGAAUUAAUUUGGAAGGAAAUAGAGUGUGAAAUAGCAGCAAGGCUUUCAGCUCUGGGCACCAUGGCCUUAGAAACCGAGUCGGCACUUCAGAGGCUUGCCAAGGCCCAGCCUGGGAGCUACAUCCAGGAAAGCAGCCCGGGGAUGCCCAGAGACCACAAAUUGCUGAGCUCGGAAGGAACUGAUUGAGUGUGUAAUUAAGGGGAGGGUUGUAUAACACUUGGGUAAGUAGAACUUGAUGGGGUCAAACCAGCAGGGCUUCUGGGAGAUGAGAGAGCAGUCCCUGGAGUGGUUAGUAACUGAAGCCAGAUGCAUAAAGUUAGAUACAGCUUACCUGGGCCCUAUGGAGAUGAGGACGGAAGAGCUCAGGAAGGGGAAAGGAUAAGUGAUUGCUCCCUAAGUUGAAGUAUCCCCAAAUGCUCAGUACCUUAGUGGUUCUACUCUGGGAAUGAGCAAUGGGAAAAAUCCCCAGAAACUGAAGAAUCAGAGAGGCUGUGACUUGGCCAAGGUCACAUAGCAUGGAGGAACUGUAAUGGAUUCUGGGUCCUGAUUGUGCAUCCAGAGUGCAUCUUGCUGUGCUACACUGAUGGUGACAGCUGGAAGGGAACUGGCCAGAAGAAGGGUCCUGUAUCACAGAGUAGGGGUAAGGUAUCAUUCACUGUAUAUUUGUGGGCAAGAUGGGUAUGUGUAGGUUGAAUACUGAAACAGUUAUGUAUAUUCAUAACUAGUUGAAUCCCUGGUAUUACCUAACCCCACAUGACAGGACCCUUGCUCACCCCUCAGCCUCAUGCCCUGCCUCUUGUUCUCCCCUCAAUUCUUGUGAUAUUGACUCCUGCUUGUCAUCUAGACCUCAGCUUAAACAUGACUCUCUCUCAGGUGGAAUAUUUCCUUACGCGUUUAUGUGUAUGUUUAAUUUAGCAUUUACUUUUGUAGAGGUACAACAGAAGCCCGGUGGCUAACACAGGCUCUACAGCCAGACUGCCUAGGUUGAUGCUCCAUCUUUUAGGAUCUGUGUGAUCUUGAGCAAGUGACUUAACUCCUCUGUGUCUCAGGACUCUUAAUCUAGAAAAUGGGAAUAAUGAUAGUAUUUACCUCACAAGACCUUGUGAAGAGUAAACAUGUACAGUGUUUAGAACAAUGCCUGGCACAUAGGAAAUGCUCAAUAAAUGUCAGCCAUUAUUAUUUUUUGUUUUUAUUUUUAUUAUGCUAUGUCUCCCUCCCCUAUAAUCACCAGGAACCUUGUCUGGCUUGUUCACUGCUGGACGUUUCUUCAGCACAUAGAUCAUGACCUGGCACAUAGUAGGGCAUCAAUACAUAUUUAUUGAAUGUAUUUGCUAAAUUAAUAAAGUAACCAAUUCAGUAGUCAAUCUUUUUUCAGAGAAGUGUUUUGUGUUGUCUGGUAGGCCUCUAGGCCUCUGCCCAUUUGGACAUAUUAUUUAAUAGUUUGAGGAAAAAAUACAACUGAAUAACCAGAGGGUGCAGGCUGGAUAUACUUACUAAAGACAUAAAACCAGGAAGAAUAGCUUAUUGAAUGGCUGAAUGAAUGAGUGAAUAAAUGAUGGAUAUAUUUGAUAUGUCCAUGCCAAUAUCUUUUUUUUUUAUCCUGGGCCAAAUAUUAUGAGAUAAAACUUACUAGGAAUAAAUACAAAGUUCUUGAUUUCAAAAUCAAUUGCCCACAAUAAGGUUGUUCAGUGUGAAUCAAUAGUAUGAUGUGUUUCUCAAAAUUCUAAAUGUGCUGUGGUACCUGGAAUGAAGGAGGUGAUGGUCCUGUUCCAUCCCGCACAGCUCAGAGCACACCCAGAGAACUGUGCUCAGAUGUGGGAGCCAGAUUUGCUAGCAGAAAUAAGCAAACAUGCCAACUGGAGAAGGACCAUCAAGGAGGAGGGAUCAAAGGGGCUGAAGACCACAUUCAGACCAGUGUGUAGGCUAUAGGGACAUACAGACUUUAGGUUCAUAUAAGGAAAAUCUGUGAAAUAAUCCAAGUUGGCCAUAGAUGAAUUGGGCUACUUUAGAAGAAUCCUGUCACGGAGGAUUUUGAGCUUACACUGGCAUUUAGCUAGAGUGUUGUAAAGGGUCAUACACCAUCCAGGAGCUGGAAUAAGUGGCUUUUAAAGUCUCCACCCACCCUGAGAAUCUAUGGCUCUGAUUGCACAGCAUCUUUCAUUCUUUAUGAAAAGUCUGAGUCAGAGGCAGGCCUCAUUUUUCUUUUUAUGUGGUCAGGGAUGGGGUUUGGUCCCCUAAUUUGAUGAUUCUGAACUUUAAAGAAGGAAGAGGGAAGCGCCUGAGAAUCUGGUGACCUCACUGUAACCCUUUAAAAAAAUCCAUCAUGUUGGGCCAGUUGGGCUUGGAUGUGCCAGGGAAUACUUUAGUCCUGCUGCUACCAUCAUCCCAUCUUAGAAUUUCCUCUCUGGUGCAGCUUUCUCCAAGGCUUUUCUGUGUGAACUUUCAGUGCCAGGAGAGCAACAAGAAGGCUCUGUGGGUCUCCCUUCUGAAAGAAGAAACAGUUCCCAGCUCCAGCUAGAAUCUUCUAACAGCCCAGCCAGCACAUCUGUGAAGCUUUCGAAUUUACUCAAUAGAACAGCCAUUUCAGAUCUCUGCAUUGCAAGCCUGAGGCACUGAGAACAAGGAUGAAGAGAAUUCUAGGGAUUCUUCAGCUUCAUCAACAAGGAAAAAACAAACUAAUCUUCACGGCAGCAUGUUGACGUUUCAAAACUGGCAUUUAAUUAUUUACAUACCUUAGUAUAAUCAAAGGUACAUAUACACUUGUAUAAAUAAAUCUGUGUGUGUGUGUAAAAAUUCUUAAUAGCACAAGUACUGACAGCUAGAAUAAAGAACUUCACCAGAGCCUGGGAGAACUUUUGCAGUUGGAGAACAAAAUAAAUCACAGUAAUCCAUGAUUCCCUGUAACCAAAUACAUUUGGAUUGAAGGCAGUGGUGAUGUCUCAGUCUCUAGCAAGGUGCUAGGCUCUGCUCGGCUGCAUUUGACACUAAGAACCAAGAAGCCAGAAGCCUGUGCUCCAGAGCUCUUACAGCACCACUGAGAGCAGAACACUCGUGCUUGGAUCAGAUCGAUGUGUGAGGAUGGGCAGGAGUCUCCAGGGAAAGAAGCACACAGAAGGUUUCUGUAUGAGAAGUGGGGAAAGAAACCUUCGUGAAGCUUGGUAAAGAUGAGAAAUAAACACAAGUUCCCAGGGGUCUUUAACAGAAAGAACUCGGGCUGCAGCAAAAAAAAAAAAAAAAAAAAAAAAAAAAAAAAGAUUCUUAAAAACAUCAAUCCAUCCUGACCAUUAACUAAGUAGACACUGAAUAACAUUGAGAUUUGUAACUUCCUUCUGUCCUCAACUCUAGCUCCAGACACUGGGGAAAGGAAGUGGGUGGCCAGCCUGGAGCUGUGAGCACGCUGUGCUGUACGGUAGGAAGAACCAAACUUCCCAGAGCCGAGCACCAUCCCAGUCCUGUCCUGUCCCUGUCUCCCCACCACAGCGAAGACCUGCACUUUGCUGGGGCUGAAUUUUUUCAAGCUGUUCUUUGGAAUCUCGGGGUCCUUUAUAAUUGCUUUGGGCUCUGAGGGAGUAUUUUGCAAGGAGAAAUUGAGUUCUUUUGUGUUUGGUGAAAUAGCUGCAUUUUUCCAUGCUUUAAAUAUGUGUAAGGAAAUAAUUUCUGAAUCUUCUCUUUAUCUUCUCUGUGAUCAUAUACUCACCUUCUUCCUCUAGCAGCACCGGUUGCCAAGCACAACUGAGCACUGAGCCAGAAAGUUAAGAGUGUGGACACCUGUAAGCAGAAAACAGAUCACGCCUAUUACAGUAAACCAGAUAAAGAGCCAUGUUAAA